rfam:Picea glauca, whole genome shotgun sequence.
GCGGGGCUCAGUUGGGAGAGCGUCAGACUAAAGAUCUGGAGGUCGCGUGUUCGAUCCACACUCACCGCA